UUAGAGUUUGAUCAUGGCUCAGAUUGAACGCUGGCGGCAGGCCUAACACAUGCAAGUCGAACGGUAACAGGAAUCAGCUUGCUGAUUCGCUGACGAGUGGCGGACGGGUGAGUAAUGUCUGGGAAACUGCCUGAUGGAGGGGGAUAACUACUGGAAACGGUAGCUAAUACCGCAUAACGUCGCAAGACCAAAGAGGGGGACCUUCGGGCCUCUUGCCAUCGGAUGUGCCCAGAUGGGAUUAGCUAGUAGGUGGGGUAACGGCUCACCUAGGCGACGAUCCCUAGCUGGUCUGAGAGGAUGACCAGCCACACUGGAACUGAGACACGGUCCGGACUCCUACGGGAGGCAGCAGUGGGGAAUAUUGCACAAUGGGCGCAAGCCUGAUGCAGCCAUGCCGCGUGUAUGAAGAAGGCCUUCGGGUUGUAAAGUACUUUCAGCGGGGAGGAAGGGAGUAAAGUUAAUACCUUUGCUCAUUGACGUUACCCGCAGAAGAAGCACCGGCUAACUCCGUGCCAGCAGCCGCGGUAAUACA
rnacentral:rRNA from 1 species